rnacentral:rRNA from 1 species
GAUGAACGCUGGCGGCGUGCCUAAUACAUGCAAGUCGAGCGAACAGACGAGGAGCUUGCUCCUCUGACGUUAGCGGCGGACGGGUGAGUAAAACGUGGAUAACCUACCUAUAAGACUGGGAUAACUUCGGGAAACCGGAGCUAAUACCGGAUAAUAUAUUGAACCGCAUGGUUAAAUAGUGAAAGACGGUUUUGCUGUCACUUAUAGAUGGAUCCGCGCCGCAUUAGCUAGUUGGUAAGGUAACGGCUUACCAAGGCAACGAUGCGUAGCCGACCUGUGAGGGUGAUCGGCCACACUGGAACUGAGACACGGCCCAGACUCCUACGGGAGGCAGCAGUAGGGAAUCUUCCGCAAUGGGCGAAAGCCUGACGGAGCAACGCCGCGUGAGUGAUGAAGGUCUUCGGAUCGUAAAACUCUGUUAUUAGGGAAGAACAAAUAUGUAAGUAACUAUGCACGUCUUGACGGUACCUAAUCAGAAAGCCACGGCUAACUACGUG